AAGACUUUCUUGAGCACAAGGCCACCUUCUCGGAACAUCACGCGGCGUGACCUUCUUGUCGAAUGCUUGCUUCACUCUUUGCUGAUACAACUGACCAUGACACAUGGCAGUUAAUCUCUUCUUUCGAUCAGAUUCACUUAGUCGUAACGACUCUGAAUCCAUUCAGCAUCAGUCAACUUGGGACUUUGAGGGUGUUAUUUCUCUUUUGUUUCUUUCUUUCUUUUUCUUUCUUUUGAUUUGGAUUUCUUUUGAUUUCUUUUGAUUUUGCACCAUCCUCUCCUUCUUUUUUUUUUCUUUUUUUUUUCUUUUUUUUUUGUAAUGCCCUAGUUGGUUGUUCUGCUGAUUCUCGAGAUGCAGCUGAGUGAUCUUCUUUUCUUGCUCAAGAAGUCGGGAAAUCUCGUCAGGAA
rnacentral:lncRNA from 1 species